GAUGAAGAACGCAGCGAAAUGCGAUAAGUAAUGUGAAUUGCAGAAUUCAGUGAAUCAUCGAAUCUUUGAACGCACAUUGCGCCCGCCAGUAUUCUGGCGGGCAUGCCUGUCCUAGCGUCAUUUCAACCCUCGAACCCCUCCGGGGGGUCGGCGUUGGGGAUCGGCCCUGCCUCUUGGCGGUGGCCGUCUCCGAAAUACAGUGGCGGUCUCGCCGCAGCCUCUCCUGCGCAGUAGUUUGCACACUCGCAUCGGGAGCGCGGCGCGUCCACAGCCGUUAAACACCCAACUUCUGAAAUGUUGACCUCGGAUCAGGUAGGAAUACCCGCUGAACUUAAGCAUAUCAAUAAGCGGAGGA
rnacentral:misc_RNA from 1 species